ensembl:lncRNA
AAGGAAAGAAGAGUGGAAGAAGGAAAGAAGAAAGGAAAGAAGAGUGGAAGAAGGAAGGAAGAAUGAAGAAAAGGAAGAAGAAAAGAAAGAAGAGUGAAAGAAGGAAAGAAGAAAGGAAAGAAGAGUGAAGAAAGAAAAGAAGAGUGGAAGAAGAAAAGAAAGAAGGAAAGAAGAAAGGAAAGUAGAGUAAAAGAAGGAAAGAAGAGUGGAAGAAGGAAAGAAGAGUGAAGAAAGAAAAGAGAGUAGAAGAAGGAAAGAAGAGUGGAAGAAGGAAAGAAGAAAGGAAAGGAGAGUGGAAGAAGGAAAGAAGAGUGGAAGAAGGAAAGAAG